UACAGAGGGCCCGAGCGUUGUUCGGAUUUAUUGGGCGUAAAGGGUGCGUAGGCGGCGGAGUAAGUUGGGUGUGAAAUCCCGGGGCUUAACCUCGGAAUGGCAUUCAAUACUGCUUCGCUUGAGUACUGGAGAGGAGGCUGGAAUUUACGGUGUAGCAGUGAAAUGCGUAGAUAUCGUAAGGAAGGCCGGUGGCGAAAGCGAGCCUCUGGACAGUUACUGACGCUGAUGCACGAAGGCCAGGGGAGCAAACGGG
rnacentral:rRNA from 1 species